CGAACGCUGGCGGCGCGCUUAACACAUGCAAGUCGAGCGAGAACCGGGGCUUCGGCCCUGGGGACAGCGGCGAACGGGUGAGUAACACGUGAGUAACCUGCCCUCGGCACCGGAAUAGCCCGGGGAAACUCGGAUUAAUGCCGGAUACGCCCCACAGUCCUGCGGGACGGUGGGAAAAGGUAGCUUCGGCCUCUGGCCGAGGAUGGGCUCGCGGCGGAUUAGCUUGUUGGCGGGGUAACGGCCCACCAAGGCGACGAUCCGUAGCUGGUCUGAGAGGUCAAUCCCCCACACUGGCACUGAGAUACGGGCCAGACUCCUACGGGAGGCAGCAGUAGGGAAUAUUGGGCAAUGGACGCAAGUCUGACCCAGCCAUGCCGCGUGCAGGAAGAAGGCGUUAUGCGUUGUAAACUGCUUUUAUACAGGAAGAAACGACUCUUGCGAGAGGCAUUGACGGUACUGUAUGAAUAACGCACCAGCUAACUCCGUGCCAGCAG
rnacentral:rRNA from 1 species